rnacentral:rRNA from 1 species
GACGAACGCUGGCGGCGUGCUUAACACAUGCAAGUCGAACGGAAAGGCCCUGCUUUUGUGGGGUGCCCGAGUGGCGAACGGGUGAGUAACACGUGAGUAACCUGCCCUUGACUUUGGGAUAACUUCAGGAAACUGGGGCUAAUACCGGAUAGGAGCUCCUGCUGCAUGGUGGGGGUUGGAAAGUUUCGGCGGUUGGGGAUGGACUCGCGGCUUAUCAGCUUGUUGGUGGGGUAGUGGCUUACCAAGGCUUUGACGGGUAGCCGGCCUGAGAGGGUGACCGGCCACAUUGGGACUGAGAUACGGCCCAGACUCCUAUGGGAGGCAGCAGUGGGGAAUAUUGCACAAUGGGCGGAAGCCUGAUGCAGCAACGCCGCGUGCGGGAUGACGGCCUUCGGGUUGUAAACCGCUUUCGCCUGUGACGAAGCGUGAGUGACGGUAAUGGGUAAAGAAGCACCGGCUAACUACGUG